AGUGAAUAGAUACCCUGGUAGUCCUAGCCGUAAACGAUACUCGCUAGGUGUCGGCCACGGUGCGACCGUGGUCGGUGCCGUAGGGAAAGCCGUGAAGCGAGCCACCUGGGAAGUACGGCCGCAAGGCUGAAACUUAAAGGAAUUGGCGGGGGAGCACCACAACGGGUGGAGCUUGCGGUUUAAAUUGGAUUCAACGCCGGAAAUCUUACCGGGACCGACAGCGAUAUGAAGGCCAGGCUGAAGACUUUGCCGGAUUAGCUGAGAGGUGGUGCAUGGCCGUCGUCAGUUCGUACUGCGAAGCAUCCUGUUAAGUCAGGCAACGAGCGAGACCCACGCCCACAGUUGCCAGCGUACUCUCCGGAGUGACGGGUACACUGUGGGGACCGCCGCUGCUAAAGCGGAGGAAGGAAUGGGCAACGGUAGGUCAGUAUGCCCCGAAUAUCCCGGGCUACACGCGAGCUACAAUGGUUGGUACAAUGGGUAUCUACCCCGAAAGGGAUGGAAAUCUCCUAAAGCCAAUCUUAGUUCGGAUUGAGGGCUGCAACUCGCCCUC
rnacentral:rRNA from 1 species